rnacentral:rRNA from 1 species
CAGCACUAAGUGGGUGGUAAACUCCAUCUAAAACUAAAUAUAACCAUGAGACCGAUAGCAAACAAGUACCGUGAGGGAAAGUUGAAAAGAACUCUGAAUAGAGAGUUAAAUAGUACGUGAAACUGCUUAGAGGUUAAGCCCGAUGAACCUGAAUAUCCGUUGUAGAAAAUUCAUCAUCAAUUUUAUAAUAUAUUUUUUUAUAUUUAUAUAAAUGGUGUGCACUUUUUCUACUUAAGGACAUUGUAAUCUGUUAAUGUUUAAAUGCUUAUUAUAAGAACUUGUUACAUAAGUUUUUACAUUAUUUAAUUUUAUUAAAUAUGUUUAAAUGUAAUUAGAUUCGAAUUAGCCAUUGACAGAUUUUUUACAUAUAUUACACUUAAAUUAUAUUUAUAUAAUUUUAUAAUAAUAUAAUUAAUCAUUGAUUAUUAUAUUUAUUAUAUGUGUAUAUAUGAUUGACAAUGCGAAAGAUUCAGUAUACCUUCGGGACCC